CGGCAAAAAUUCAAGAAUUGCUGCAGAGUAUAUAGGGAGGCCUAUUUCAGAGCUCUCACCAGUUCAACCUAUUCAUCUUUCACUAAACUUAAUGUCCAUGGCUAAUUUUGGACUAACUGGCCCUUCCUUGAUAUCGAUCUUCUCCAUGGAAUUUCGACGAGUUUAUUAUCACCUUGGAAAUGCAACAACUUGACCGCGAGAUCUGUACGUGGAAGUGCUGGUAACAUCUGCUACAGCACGGCCGAUGACAGUCUCUUGCUGUUGUGCGGGCUUUGUGACACAGCUGGUGUUUGCCUUGGUACUGUGUAGUUGUGGUACAGGUACACCAUCAAGUUUAAUUUUAGGUUUUCAGACUGCAAACCAAUGGCGAAGAAGAACAAAAAAGAAGGUUUCCUUAGCUGCCCUCUCAAAUGAUGAAUAUGAACCAUUUUUGAAGUUAAGGAGGUGUAUGCCAUGGCUUCUUUACAAUGUUUAAAUUCUUAUGCCAAUGAUACCAUCAUUUUGCAGUAUCUUCACUUAAUUGUUGUUGCGGGACUAAACCUGGAGGAUAUUGUUCGAGGAGUAGUCACAUGGACUUUAGAAUGAGGAACUUCCUUUGUAGAAUCAUAAACGCCAAGACUGGAAGUGAAGCUAUGUGCUGGUGUUCUUUUGUCUGAAAAUGACAUUGCGUGUAAACCUAGACUUCCUUCAGCUUUUACUUCCUUCAUGUAAAACAAAUUACUUAAAUAGUUCAACGUGGAAAUUGAAUCUUCUGCUGUUGUUUGUCUGCUAGAGGUGGUGGUGUUCCCCAACUUUAUCUUGACUUGAUUGGCCAUAGAGUUAAGUGUGAUGAAUGAAUAGAGAUACAAUUCUUUAAA